rnacentral:rRNA from 1 species
CAAUAGCGUAUAUUAAUGUUGUUGCAGUUAAAAAGCUCGUAGUUGGAUUUCGAAUGGGAGCGGUGGGUCGGGUCCGCAAGGGCUCGUUACCUGUUUCGUCUCCGGUUCUUUUUCGGGAUUUGUUUCUGGCGUGGCUGGCAUUGAGUUGUCGGUGGCGUCGGGCCCGUCGUUUACUGUGAACAAAUUAGAGUGUUCAAAGCAGGCUCGCGCUAUGAAUACGACAGCAUGGAAUAAUGACUUAGGACUCCGGUUCUAUUUUGUUGGUUUCUAGGACUGAAGUAAUGAUUGAUAGGGAUAGUUGGGGGUGCUAGUAUUCAGCGGCCAGAGGUGAAAUUCUUGGAUUCGCUGAAGACUAACUACUGCGAAAGCAUUCACCAAGGAUGUCUUCUUUAA